UCGCUGCCCGGGACUGAGCCGUUUCGAGAAGAAUGAGGACUGAACCUUGAUCGUCUUAACCGACUGUCUAGGAUUGGGAAUCGUUUUAAUCGCAGUGGCUUGAACCGGGCAA
rnacentral:rRNA from 1 species